CGUGCAGGUAUGCGCACGUGCAGAAAAGGAGAAGAAAGACAAUAAUCAAGCUGGAAAAGUUAAAAAUGGCAGCCAUAUUUUUUCACUCUCUCUCUCUUUUUCUUUUUUUUUUCUCGCUUAUCCUUCAC
rnacentral:ribozyme from 1 species